rnacentral:rRNA from 1 species
GGAAACGGCGUCUAAUAMAGGAUACGACGAUCGGAGGCAUCUCCUGGUCGUGGAAAGAACUUCGGUCAAGGAUCAGCUCACGGCCUAUCAGUUAGUUGGUGAGGUAAUGGCUCACCAAGACGACGACGGGUAGCCGGCCUGAGAGGGUGACCGGCCACDCUGGGACUGAGACACGGCCCAGACUCYUACGGGAGGCAGCAGUGGGGAAUAUUGCACAAUGGGCGCAAGCUGAUGCAGCAACGCCGCGUGAGGGACGAAGGCCUUCGGGUUGUAAACCUCUUUUAGCAGGGAAGAAGCGAAAGUDACGGUACCUGCAGAAAAAGCACCGGCUAACUACGUGCCAGCAGCCGCGGUAAUACGUAGGGUGCAAGCKUUGUCCGGAAUUAUUGGGCGUAAAGAGCUCGUAGGCGGUUUGUCACGUCUGCUGUGAAAACCCGAGGCUCAACCUCGGGCUUGCAGUGGGUACGGGCAGACUAGAGUGCGGUAGGGGAGAUUGGAAUUCCUGGUGUAGCGGUGGAAUGCGCAGAUAUCAGGAGGAACACCGAUGGCGAAGGCAGAUCUCUGGGCCGUAACUGACGCUGAGGAGCGAAAGCAUGGGGAGCAAACAGGCUUAGAUACCCUGGUAGUCCAUGCCGUAAACGUUGGGAACUAGAUGUGGGGACCAUUCCACGGUCUCCGUGUCGUAGCUAACGCAUUAAGUUCCCCGCCUGGGGAGUACGGCCGCAAGCUAAAAACUCAAAGGAAUUNACGGGGGCCCGCACAAGCAGCGGAGCAUGCGGAUUAAUUCGAUGCAACGCGAAGAACCUUACCAAGGCUUGACAUAUACGAGAACGCGCUGGAGACAGCGAACUCUUUGGACACUCGUAUACAGGUGGUGCAUGGUUGUUGUCAGCUCGUGUCGUGAGAUGUUGGGUUAAGUCCCGCAACGAGCGCAACCCUCGUCCUAUGUUGCCAGCACGUAAUGGUGGGAACUCAUGGGAUACUGCCGGGGUCAACUCGGAGGAAGGUGGGGAUGAGGUCAAAUCAUCAUGCCCCUUAUGUCUUGGGCUUCACGCAUGCUACAAUGGCCGGUACAAUGGGMUGCAAUACCGUAAGUGGAGCGAAUCCCAAWAAGCCGGUCUCAGUUCGGAUUGAGGUCUGCAACUCGACCUCAUGAAGUCGGAGUCGSUAGUAAUCGUAGAUCAGCAACGCUACGGUGAAUACGUUCCCGGG